ensembl:rRNA 5S_rRNA 5S ribosomal RNA
GGCUAUGGGCACACCACCCUGAACACGCCCGAUCUCAGAAGCUAAGCAGGGUCGGGCCUGGUUAGUACUUGGACAGGAGAGAAGGGUUGAGGUCCACUUAGUUG